CUCUUCCAGAUCUACUUCAUGUGCUCCACAGAGCUGUGCCUACCGUCUGAGCGGCAGUGUGUGGAGGGCUGCUUUGAUGGCCGCAAAAUCCCAGUGCUGGAGAACCCUGAUGCUGACAGGCGCUGUGUCAGGACCCCCUGCCCAGGAAAGGAUGAGGGCCCCAAGGACUGAGGGGUUCUUGCCUGCUGCUUCAGGGACCAGCAACCUGUGUCUGAAGAGAUGGUUCUGUUGGAAGUUGGUCCUAAUAAAGAUGUUGAAAGUG